ensembl:lncRNA
CUGUGAAUCUUCUACACCUUGACUUUCCUUGCAGUGCACUAGCUGAUGGUUUUGGGGUAGACAAGAUUUCUUAGGAUACAAAAAGUAUGAAAUGAACCAGAAGUGAAAAACAAUCUGUGUUUUCUCAAGUCCUCCUGGUGACCCCAGUGAACACUCCAAUGAAAGCCUGUUUUCUGGGAAGGUGAUACUGAAAAUCAUCUAUUUAUGGAGCUGAAGAAGUAAUCAGCACUGGAAACAACAGAAAUGGGAGGGGCUUUUAACAUUGGCAGAUUCUUCACCAUUAGCACCACCUGGGACACACAGACCCAUCCAACCGUGUUGCUAUGAUGACAGAAAUGCACCUCCGUAGACAGAACUUCAGAGCAUAGUCUGCCUCGGAAAGCAGUGAAUGCUGUAUCAUUGGAUCCCUACUGGCAGAGGAUUCUUAACCACCAGAGAAGUCCUGGCAAAUGAGUUAUUGAGUGAAGGAAUGCAGAGAAACAUCUGAAAGAACAAGGGAAGAAGAACAGGGCAAGGCGAAAGAUUAGACAAAGAGUGGAGCCACCACCUGACCCCACGAGGAUCUCUAGAGCAUUGGUUGUAUCACAAGUUUUCCCAGCACCAGGAAAGGAGGCUGGGCACUGGACUCACACAUCACUCAGGCAUCAGUGCUAAUUACGAGCGGACAUAGAACGCUUCCUCUGACAAAGACACGGGAGCCUGGCACCAAGGUUUCUCCCACAUCCCUGUGUGUUCACCACGUCUGGAUGGAGCUCUGGUCAACCUUUGCAAAGCCGAUGUACCCGCUCCAAAGAAGGUUUGCCAGGAGUCAGACAAAGAUGGUGUUUGCUGGAGUCUGCAUGCUGCAAGGCUGCCAAUUUGCCUGCCCUCCAACCAUCACCAGUCUGCAGCUUCCCUCCCGACCCUGCAUCUCAGG